rnacentral:piRNA from 1 species
UGUGUGAUGGGCCCAUGUCCCUCCUUCUGC